AACGAACGCUGGCGGCAGGCUUAACACAUGCAAGUCGAACGCCCCGCAAGGGGAAUGGCAGACGGGUGAGUAACGCGUGGGAAUCUACCCAGAUCUACGGAACAACAGUUGGAAACGACUGCUAAUACCGUAUACGCCCUACGGGGGAAAGAUUUAUCGGAUUUGGAUGAGCCCGCGUAAGAUUAGCUAGUUGGUGGGGUAAUGGCCUACCAAGGCGACGAUCUUUAGCUGGUCUGAGAGGAUGAUCAGCCACACUGGGACUGAGACACGGCCCAGACUCCUACGGGAGGCAGCAGUGGGGAAUAUUGGACAAUGGGCGCAAGCCUGAUCCAGCCAUGCCGCGUGAGUGAUGAAGGCCUUAGGGUUGUAAAGCUCUUUCAGUAGGGAAGAUAAUGACGGUACCUACAGAAGAAGCCCCGGCUAACUACGUGCCAGCCGCCGCGGUAAUAC
rnacentral:rRNA from 1 species